rnacentral:tRNA from 1 species
GUAGUCGUGGCCGAGUGGUUAAGGCGAUGGACUUGAAAUCCAUUGGGGUUUCCCCGCGCAGGUUCGAAUCCUGCCGGCUACGGUUUUAGCCUGACUUCUCCCAAAUAGUUUCUU